rnacentral:rRNA from 1 species
UGGGGAUGACGUCAAGUCCUCAUGGCCUUUAUGACCAGGGCUACACACGUACUACAAUGGCCGGUACAAAGGGCAGCGACACAGCGAUGUGAAGCCAAAUCCCGAAAAGCCGGUCUCAGUCCGGAUUGGAGUCUGCAACUCGACUCCAUGAAGUUGGAAUCGCUAGUAAUCGCGGAUCAGCACGCCGCGGUGAAUACGUUCCCGGGCCUU